CAACAUGGCGGGCAGCGAAGACGGAGGACCUUCGGACGAAAAUAGUGAAUGGUCUGAUUUUAGUAGCAACAGCUCCACGAUUGACACUUUUGACGAUCUUCAUUUUGGCACUAAAUCUCAGGAUCCUUCCAGUAUCAUCAGUACCCUUUUCACCUGUUUUCCCUUGCCAUUAGAUUUCCAGUCAGCUGACUUUUGUGACCGAGCGCAUUGCGCCAACGAAAGAAUUCUCGACCGUGUAGAUCCUGCGUUGGAAACUUAUGGCGAACCUUUGGUUUGGCGGGGAUGUGAAACAGAAGUGAAGUUCUUCAAGGCGUUACAUCUUCGUCCGUGUAGUAACGGUAAUCAUCUUCUACCUGGGCAAGUUGAGGAGGACUCAAACUCUGUCUCAACAAGAACUUUUGACUUUCAUAAAUUUGCGGAGAAAUUCAACGCACAAUUGACUUUAAAUAGUGGUUCGGAUGAACUUACAGAAGAUCCUGCUUUAGCAAAUCCAUCUGAACAACUCUCUAAGACUGUUGAUUCUGAUAGUGAAAACGAGGAUGAAAUUUUCUUGGUCUUCAGAGGGAAGCCAAAUAAUCGGCAGUCAACUUUUGAUGAGGGUCAAGCUGCAGCAGGGCUUUCUGAACUUUCAAAUGGAGAACUCUUAGAUUUAAAACAAGAGAUGGCUGCUUAUGUCAAAGAGUACUCUGAUAUUCUUGUGGAAGAAUUAACAUUGAGAGAAGAAUUGGAAAGGGAAAAAGAAAUUAAAAACAAAUUUAUAUCAACAUUAUUAGCUGUCCAGUCCAAAAUACGAGAAUCACAGUCAGGUCAAGGAAAAGGAAAAAAGGGUUCCUCCGUGUAUUCUGGGAAAUAUUUAACCACAGUGAUUCCUUAUGAUGAUUGUGAUGGAGGUCCAAGCAAUAAAGUACUACUACAACUGAUUGAAAGAUUCGAAUGCACUUCUUUGAUUGUCUGGCACUAAAGUCUUCAAUAAAGAUGUUUGAUAAUGGUGAACCAAAAGCCCACAACUGACGAAACAUUCGAAUCCCAUCAUGGAGGCCCUCAUUGCUGACAGCCCAAUAGUUCCUGGUUUGUUAACUGAAUAUAUAUUAAAAGUGCUGUGUGCUGAAGAUU
rnacentral:misc_RNA from 1 species